rnacentral:rRNA from 1 species
AGAGCGAACGCUGGCGGCAGGCCUAACACAUGCAAGUCGAGCGCCCCGCAAGGGGAGCGGCAGACGGGAGAGUAACACGUGGGAACGUACCCUUUGGUUCGGAACAACACAGGGAAACUUGUGCUAAUACCGGAUAAGCCCUUACGGGGAAAGAUUUAUUGCCAAAGGAUCGGCCCGCGUCUGAUUAGCUUGUUGGUGAGGUAACGGCUCACCAAGGCUACGAUCAGUAGCUGGUCUGAGAGGAUGAUCAGCCUCACUGGGACUGAGACACGGCCCAGACUCCUACGGGAGGCAGCAGUGGGGAAUAUUGGACAAUGGCGCAAGCCUGAUCCAGCCAUGCCGCGUGGAUGAUGAAGGCCCUAGGGUUGUAAAGUCCUUUCGACGGGGAAGAUAAUGACGGUACCCGUAGAAGAAGCCCCGGCUAACUUCGCGCCAGCAGCCGC